CCCUGCCCUUUGUACACACCGCCCGUCGCUACUACCGAUUGAAUGGCUCAGUGGGGCGUCCGGACUGGCCCAGAGAGGUGGGCAACUACCACUCAGGGCCGGAAAGCUCUCCAAACGCGGUCAUUUAGAGGAAGUAAAAGUCGUAACAAGG
rnacentral:rRNA from 1 species